CAAUAGCGUAUAUUAAAGUUGUUGCAGUUAAAAGCUCGUAGUUGGAUUUCUGGACUGGGCGGCCGGUCCGCGACAUGUUCGUGUGUACCUGGUGUGCUUAGUCCAUCCUUGAUGGGAACGAUGGUCACCGUUAAUUCGGUGCUGUCGGGAACAUCAUCGUUUACUGUGAGAAAAAUAGAGUGUUUAAAGCAGGCGUUUGCUCUGAAUACGUUAGCAUGGAAUAAUAAGAUAGGACUUUGGUGCUAUUUUGUUGGUUGCAGCCCAAGGUAAUGAUUAAUAGGGACAGUUGGGGGUAGUUCUAUAUUUAAUUUGUUCAGAAGGUGGAAAUUACUUUGGUAUUUAAUUGAAAGAAUGAACUUAAUUGCGAAAGACAUUUACCUAAGGAA
rnacentral:rRNA from 1 species